rnacentral:rRNA from 1 species
UGAACGCUGGCGGUAGGCCUAACACAUGCAAGUCGAACGGCAGCACAGUAAGAGCUUGCUCUUACGGGUGGCGAGUGGCGGACGGGUGAGGAAUACAUCGGAAUCUACUUUUUCGUGGGGGAUAACGUAGGGAAACUUACGCUAAUACCGCAUACGACCUACGGGUGAAAGCAGGGGAUAUUCGGACCUUGCGCGAUUGAAUGAGCCGAUGUCGGAUUAGCUAGUUGGCGGGGUAAAGGCCCACCAAGGCGACGAUCCGUAGCUGGUCUGAGAGGAUGAUCAGCCACACUGGAACUGAGACACGGUCCAGACUCCUACGGGAGGCAGCAGUGGGGAAUAUUGGACAAUGGGCGCAAGCCUGAUCCAGCCAUACCGCGUGGGUGAAGAAGGCCUUCGGGUUGUAAAGCCCUUUUGUUGGGAAAGAAAAGCAGCAGGUUAAUACCCCGCUGUUCUGACGGUACCCAAAGAAUAAGCACCGGCUAACUUCGUG